rnacentral:rRNA from 1 species
AUUGAACGCUGGCGGCAGGCCUAACACAUGCAAGUCGAACGGUAACAGGGAUCAGCUUGCUGAUUCGCUGACGAGUGGCGGACGGGUGAGUAAUGUCUGGGAAACUGCCUGAUGGAGGGGGAUAACUACUGGAAACGGUAGCUAAUACCGCAUAACGUCGCAAGACCAAAGAGGGGGACCUUCGGGCCUCUUGCCAUCGGAUGUGCCCAGAUGGGAUUAGCUAGUAGGUGGGGUAACGGCUCACCUAGGCGACGAUCCCUAGCUGGUCUGAGAGGAUGACCAGCCACACUGGGACUGAGGCAAGGUUCAGAAUCCUAAGGGAGGGCGGCGUGGGGAAAAAUGGAACAAGGGCGGAAAGCCUGUGGAGGCCAGGCGGGUGGAAGGAAGAGGGCUUCGGGGUGGUAAAUUAUUUCAGCCGGGAAGAAGGGAGGAAAGUUAAUACCUUUGCUCAUUGACGUUACCCGCAGAAGAAGCACCGGCUAACUCCGUG